UACGUAGGGUGCAAGCGUUGUCCGGAAUCAUUGGGCGUAAAGAGCGUGUAGGCGGCCAGAAAAGUCAGCUGUGAAAACUCGAGGCUCAACUUCGAGCUGUCGGUGGAAACUUUCUGGCUAGAGUCCGGAAGAGGAGAAUGGAAUUCCUGGUGUAGCGGUGAAAUGCGCAGAUAUCAGGAAGAACACCCGUGGCGAAGGCGGUUCUCUGGGACGGUACUGACGCUGAGACGCGAAAGCGUGGGGAGCGAACAGG
rnacentral:rRNA from 1 species